CCUACGGGUGGCAGCAGUGGGGAAUAUUGCGCAAUGGGCGAAAGUCUGACGCAGCGACGCCGCGUGAGGGAUGAAGGUCUUCGGAUCGGAAACCUCUGUCAGUAGGGAAGAAAGGUCACUGUGCUAAUCAGCAGUGAAUUGACGGUACCAGCAAAGGAAGCACCGGCUAACGCCGUGCCAGCAGCCGAGGUAAUACGGAGGGUGCGAGAGUUAAUGGGAUUUACUGGGCGUAAAGCGCUCGUAGGCGGUAGGUCAAGUCAAGGGUGAAAUCCCCGAGCUCAACGUGGGAACUGCCUUUGAUACUGGCAGACUGGAGUGUGUGAGAGGCUAGUGGAAUUCGAGGUGUAGCAGUGAAAUGCGUAGAUAU
rnacentral:rRNA from 1 species